GUCCUAUGGUGUCCGCUAUGCAGGCGGAUGAAAAGGGAAGCCGGUGCGAAUCCGGUGCAACAGCCAUUACUGUAUUUGGUAGGAACGGGAACCGCCGUUUGGGACGGCAGCCAUUGAGCGGAUUGCUCGAGAAGGCGUUUCUGUUAAGGCCGCGUGUCGGCGCCAAGAGUCAGGAGACCUGCCAUAGGGA
rnacentral:ncRNA from 1 species